rnacentral:rRNA from 1 species
GCCCAGACUCCUACGGGAGGCAGCAGUGGGGGAUAUUGCACAAUGGGGGGAACCCUGAUGCAGCGACGCCGCGUGGGCGAGGGAGCGCCUCGGCGCGUAAAGCCCUUUCGGCGGGGGAGAACGAUGACGGUACCCGACGAAGAAGCACCGGCUAACUACGUGCCAGCAGCCGCGGGAAUACGUAGGGAGCAAGCGUUGUCCGGAAUUACUGGGUGUAAAGGGAGCGUAGGCGGGAAUGCAAGUUGGAAGUGAAAGGUAUGGGCUCAACCCAUGAACUGCUUUCAAAACUGUAUUUCUUGAGUGAAGUAGAGGCAGGCGGAAUUCCUAGUGUAGCGGUGAAAUGCGUAGAUAUUAGGAGGAACACCAGUGGCGAAGGCGGCCUGCUGGGCUUUAACUGACGCUGAGGCUCGAAAGCGUGGGUAGCAAACAGGAUUAGAUACCCUAGUA